CAACCCUCAGGCCCCUCCGGGCGGCCUGGUGUUGGGGACCGGCGGACGGGGGGAGAGGGCCCUGCCUUCCCCCCGCCGAGCCAGCCGCCCCCGAAAUGAAUUGGCGGUCUCGUCGCGGCCUCCUCUGCGUAGUAGCACAACCUCGCAACAGGAGCGCGGCGCGGCCACUGCCGUAAAACGCACCAACUUUUAAG
rnacentral:misc_RNA from 1 species